AUUGCAGAAUUCAGUGAAUCAUCGAUAUCUUUGAACGCACCUUGCGCUCCCCGGUAUUCCAGGGAGCACACCUGUUCGAGUGUCGUG
rnacentral:rRNA from 1 species